GACAGAGGUGCCAAGCGUUAGGCGGAAUCACUGGGCUUAAAGCGUGUGUAGGCGGAAUAGUAAGUACCUUGUGAAAUCCCACGGCUCAACCGUGGAACUGCUCGGUAUACUGCUUUUCUUGAGCCACUUAGGGGCUGUCGGAACAAACGGUGGAGCGGUGAAAUGCGUAGAUAUCGGGAGGAACACCUGUGGCGAAAGCGGCUCUCUGGACCACAACUGACGCUGAGGCGCGAAAGCUAGGGGAGCAAACAGG
rnacentral:rRNA from 1 species